rnacentral:lncRNA from 1 species
GGCUAAUAACGGCCGACGACGAUGCGCGACGUCCCUCUCUACGGUUCGUGCUUUAAUAUACGAUUACAGAUCUCACGCCCAUAGGAAGUAUACGGUUGUAGGGCUAUGCGGUCAUAUGAACCACGGUGACAUGUCCAGUGAGGUGAUAGGCGCUCAACGUGGUCAUAAGGACACGCAAAUACAGGAUCUAGUGGUUAUAGGACUCUGCGGUCAAGGG